rnacentral:rRNA from 1 species
GAUGAACGCUGGCGGUAUGCUUAACACAUGCAAGUCGAACGGACUCUUCGGAGUUAGUGGCGGAUGGGUGAGUAACGCGUGAGAAUCUGGCUUUGGGUUCGGGACAACCACUGGAAACGGUGGCUAAUACCGGAUGUGCCGAGAGGUAAAAGAGAAAUUGCCUGAAGAUGAGCUCGCGUCUGAUUAGCUAGUUGGUGAGGUAAAGGCUCACCAAGGCAGCGAUCAGUAGCUGGUCUGAGAGGAUGACCAGCCACACUGGGACUGAGACACGGCCCAGACUCCUACGGGAGGCAGCAGUGGGGAAUUUUCCGCAAUGGGCGAAAGCCUGACGGAGCAAUACCGCGUGAGGGAAGAAGGCUCUUGGGUUGUAAACCUCUUUUCUUAGGGAAGAACAAAAUGACGGUACCUAAGGAAUCAGCAUCGGCUAACUCCGUG